UUCACUAUUACUUUGUGUGGUGACGGCGGAAGAAUUUUCUUAGACGUCGUGAUGCGGUCGGCUUGCUCGUCACAAGGGCGCAAGUAUGAAUAUAAUUUUGUGAUAUAUGUAUACAGGGAGUCAUUUUUGUAUUGUCCAUGAUGGGGGUGAGUAGAUGUAUCAGAACAUUUAGAAUUUUGUUAAAACAGGAAGGCUCGAUCAUAUUAUAGAUUUUGGCUCCGAUUUCAAGUAGGUUAAAAGCAACCGCAGGAAAGUCUAUCGUGAAGUAAACAAUAACAAAAAAUGCACAACAAAGCAAUAAAAAUAAACAACGAAUUAAAAAAAAAAUCCCUCUUAAAUUACACCAGAAAAAUUUCUAAUGACAAACAAAACUGGCCGCAGCACGGCGUCUAAAAUAAAAAUUCAUCCGCGCCCGUCAAACGUUGAAAAUUCAUACCCAUCAACAAAAGCGAAAACUUUUAGAUUAGUGAAAGCGUUAAAAAUUUUGCAGUAUACUGGGUAAAAUGGAAAUUCCGCAUUCAUUUCUUAGUGCAAUUACAAGAAUAAAUGAAAAUUAUACCACUAGGAAUGUGUUCUUCUUAGCCACCACCACCCGCUCGCUCGAUUUCUGAGCGUCUUAAAUUCGUAAAACUUUGUAAACAUUACGAGUGUUUAUUUCUUCCUUCCAGAAAAGGCGUCGAGCAAGAAACUGAUGUAUAGCUUCCUUAAAGACAACCUACCAAUAAUUAAGGAAUCUAAAAGAAGGAGAA